GGAGGAGCUGCAUGGGGGGCCUGUGCCACCCAUGAGACCUGGAGAGGCAUAGGAGAACUACUUCUUUUCCUGGCCUGCCAGCAGCCCCAUUUGUGAUCUUGGACAAGCCCUUCCCCAAUUAGGGACUUCAGAUGGCUGGGACAAGAUAACCUCAGCCUGUUUGGGAAGCCCUUCCUGCAAAUACGAAUGCCUUCCAGGACUCCGUUGCAAGCCAGCUGGUGCAUGAUCAGGUGGGCA